UCCACUACUCAGUUGGUAGAGUACAAAGCUUUUAACCUUAUGGACGUGGGUUCAAGCCCCAUGGUGGAG
rnacentral:tRNA from 1 species